UCCGUAGGGUGAACCUGCGGAGGGAUCAUUACCGAGUUUACAACUCCCAAACCCAAUGUGAACGUUACCAAACUGUUGCCUCGGCGGGAUCUCUGCCCCGGGUGCGUCGCAGCCCCGGACCAAGGCGCCCGCCGGAGGACCAACCAAAACUCUUUUUGUAUACCCCCUCGCGGGUUUUUUAUAAUCUGAGCCUUCUCGGCGCCUCUCGUAGGCGUUUCGAAAAUGAAUCAAAACUUUCAACAACGGAUCUCUUGGUUCUGGCAUCGAUGAAGAACGCAGCGAAAUGCGAUAAGUAAUGUGAAUUGCAGAAUUCAGUGAAUCAUCGAAUCUUUGAACGCACAUUGCGCCCGCCAGUAUUCUGGCGGGCAUGCCUGUCCGAGCGUCAUUUCAACCCUCGAACCCCUCCGGGGGGUCGGCGUUGGGGAUCGGCCCUGCCUCUUGGCGGUGGCCGUCUCCGAAAUACAGUGGCGGUCUCGCCGCAGCCUCUCCUGCGCAGUAGUUUGCACACUCGCAUCGGGAGCGCGGCGCGUCCACAGCCGUUAAACACCCAACUUCUGAAAUGUUGACCUCGGAUCAGGUAGGAAUACCCGCUGAACUUAAGCAUAUCAAUAAGCGGAGGAA
rnacentral:rRNA from 1 species